rnacentral:rRNA from 1 species
CCUACGGGAGGCAGCAGUGGGGAAUAUUGGACAAUGGGGGCAACCCUGAUCCAGCCAUGCCGCGUGUGUGAAGAAGGCCCUCGGGUUGUAAAGCACUUUCAGUGAGGAAGAACGCCUGGUGGUUAAUACCCAUCAGGAAAGACAUCACUCACAGAAGAAGCACCGGCUAACUCCGUGCCAGCAGCCGCGGUAAUACGGAGGGUGCGAGCGUUAAUCGGAAUUACUGGGCGUAAAGCGCGCGUAGGUGGCUUGAUAAGCCGGUUGUGAAAGCCCCGGGCUCAACCUGGGAACGGCAUCCGGAACUGUCAAGCUAGAGUGCAGGAGAGGAAGGUAGAAUUCCCGGUGUAGCGGUGAAAUGCGUAGAGAUCGGGAGGAAUACCAGUGGCGAAGGCGGCCUUCUGGACUGACACUGACACUGAGGUGCGAAAGCGUGGGUAGCAAACAGGAGUAGAUACCCGGGUAGUC